UACAGAGGGUGCGAGCGUUAAUCGGAAUUACUGGGCGUAAAGCGUGCGUAGACGGUUAUUUAAGUCGGGUGUGAAAGCCCCGGGCUCAACCUGGGAAUUGCAUUCGAGACUGAAUAGCUAGGGUACGGUAGAGGGAAGCGGAAUUUCCGGUGUAGCGGUGAAAUGCGUAGAUAUCGAGAGGAACACCUGCGGCGAAGGCGGGUUGCUGGGCUGACACUGACGCUGAUGCGCGAAAGCCAGGGGAGCGAACGGG
rnacentral:rRNA from 1 species